rnacentral:lncRNA from 1 species
UCCCUUCACCGAAGUUCUCACAGCGGGACUUAAAGAGUCCCUCUUAUCAUUGUUCCCAAGGAUAAUCAGCUGAGCCCUCCUUGCCAAAGCACUUUUCUAGAGUUUUUCUUGCCAAGCACGUCAGCAAAGUUUUCCUCACCAAGAACUUUACUUCGUCUUCGCUCUAUCAAGGAUGACUGGAUGGGCCGUCCUUGCUUGGCCUCUCCACCCUCUUUUCUCGGCCUCCUAGUGAGCCCUCCUUGCUCGACAUCAACUGUGAGGCCAUGUCGUGGCCUCACCAUCAUCUGGAGGAAUAUUAGUGGCACCUAUCUCAUUG